rnacentral:lncRNA from 1 species
CAUGGUCCUGUUCAAAGAAGUUAUCAGAAGCAAGUGUUCUCUGUAGCACUUCGUUAGAGUGACUCGCUCUGCUAAUAACAUAGGGGGAUCAAAAUUGCAACCUUAGAUUGGAAUUUACCUUGUGCUCACACUGUAUGUUCUAUUGCUAGAUGUUGGAAAGGCUUUGGAAAGGCUAAAAUUACCAUAAGCUUAAUGGGAACCUUUUAAUCCUUUUCAUUUCUUGCAGCUAGAAUGGCUUGAAACCAUGUAAGAGAUCCACAGAAAAUUUCCAUUGCAAAGCAGAGUUCUCCAGUUUCUAGGUGUUGGUGACUCCAGCUGAAAACCAAGAACUAAAUAUCGCUUGCAGUCUACAGCCAGAAACAAGUUUCUUUUCCCAGAGCCUGAAUUUCAGUAAGUUGCCAUCGGUUGCCAAUGAUAAAACUGUCAAAAUGUGGAGAAAUGCACACUCUAUCAUAAGAGAAUAUUUCAGUCCCAUAUUCCUGGUAAGUUGGUUAGACAGUAUGUGUAUGUUAGUAUUUCCUUCACUUUUUUUUUUUUUUAUGCUUAGGUUCUGACUUAUG